AGGCCUUCGGGUUGUAAAGCACUUUCAGCGAGGAGGAAGGUGGUGAGCUUAAUACGCUCAUCAAUUGACGUUACUCGGAGAAGAAGCACCGGCUAACUCCGUGCCAGCAGCCGCGGUAAUACAGAGGGUGCAAGCGUUAAUCGGAAUUACUGGGCGUAAAGCGCAGGCGGGCGGUUUGUUAAGACUUAUGGGAAAUCCCCGGGCUCAACCUGGGAACUGCAUUUGAAACUGGAAACCUAGGGUCUCGCAGAGGAGGGGAGAUUUACACGGGUAGCGUUGAAUUGCGUAAAGAGGGGGAGAAUUACCGGUGGCGAGGGCAACCGCCUGGAGAUAUAGAGAAAUUCAGGUGGCAAAGGGGGCCCCCUGGACAAGAAUAGAUACUCAGGUGCUACACCCUGGGGACGAAAUCGGAUUAGAUGCCGUGGUAUUCAAGCCUGUAUACCAGAUCUAUUUGGAGGUAGCGCCCUUGAGGCGAGUCUUCCCGAGCUAAUGCGUCUAAUCGGACGUCUGGGGAGUACGGCCGCAAGGUUAAAACUCAAAUGAAU
rnacentral:rRNA from 2 species